UCUCUCUUCUCUCUCUUCCCCACGCACACACACUCACACGCAGUCUCUCUCUCUACCUAUCCCUAUCUUCUCUCUCUCCUCUAGCGACUUGCACCAACCACUACGGCCAUUAGUCUAACUUUUGCCUCCGACGAGAAGAGAGAGAGAGAGGACGGAUGGGUGUGUGGGCUUGGUCCAUGCAAAGCCGGAAUUAUUGCCCAUUGAAUUGGUGGGGCUGACCGACUGCA
rnacentral:lncRNA from 1 species